AUUGAACGCUGGCGGCAUGCCUUACACAUGCAAGUCGAACGGUAACAGGUCUUCGGAUGCUGACGAGUGGCGAACGGGUGAGUAAUACAUCGGAACGUGCCUAGUAGUGGGGGAUAACUACUCGAAAGAGUGGCUAAUACCGCAUGAGAUCUACGGAUGAAAGCAGGGGAUCGAAAGACCUUGUGCUACUAGAGCGGCCGAUGGCAGAUUAGGUAGUUGGUGGGAUAAAAGCUUACCAAGCCGACGAUCUGUAGCUGGUCUGAGAGGACGAUCAGCCACACUGGGACUGAGACACGGCCCAGACUCCUACGGGAGGCAGCAGCGGGGAAUUUUGGACAAUGGGCGCAAGCCUGAUCCAGCAAUGCCGCGUGCAGGAUGAAGGCCUUCGGGUUGUAAACUGCUUUUGUACGGAACGAAAAGCCCUGGGUUAAUACCCUGGGGUCAUGACGGUACCGUAAGAAUAAGCACCGGCUAACUACGUGCCAGCAGCCGCAGUAAGAC
rnacentral:rRNA from 1 species